ACCAAACGCUGCCUUAGUGACAUAAGAAGGCUUUCCUAAAUCCAGGCUAAUAUACUUUAGUUCAUUUCCGUUACUAGCUCCGGCUGAUUGAUAUACAAAUGUUGUUUGUUCUCCGUUGAAUAUGUACAUACAAAACCUGCAAUUAAAUCAGCAAAACUCAGCAAAAGAUCAGUCUAUUCAGAAACAGAUAAAUUGUUUUAUACUUCAGGAAAAAGACAUAAAUGCAGACCUUCCAUAAUGGUUAACCCCAACAUAUAUAUUACACAAACUUAGUAAAAUUUAAACUAAAAAAUAAAAUAUAGAAAGACUGAGCGGACAUUCGAUCUCCAAAAUUGGAUUGAAGGCAAUUGAAUUCCCUUGACAUAAAAUUCAUGAAUCCGGCCACCACUCGGAACAAGCAUAAGGAUAUAUUUGUCACUUUUGUCCUAGUAAAAACAAUCAACGAGUCAUACUUAGAUAUUUUGAGAGUUGAUUUCUCAGAUAAUCACUCAACUACUAGUUAUUAUUUCAAUAAAGUAUUUUCUUUAUUGAAGAAUAUUAGGAUUAAGAAAAAGACUGACUUUCUGAGAUAAUAACUAUUAGUUGAGGACCAUAUGAGAAACCAAUCCAAUACUUCAACCAAUACUCCUUUGUUCAUUCCCAAAUCUUUUAUCUAUCAAAUAAAGACCUUAAUAGAGUUCUUUAUAUAAUACAAUACAUAGUCC
rnacentral:lncRNA from 1 species